GUCAACCGUCUUCUUCAUACUCGGAUAUUUACUCCAAUCACCCGAUAAAGAAUCGAGAUAAUACACUAUUAGUCUCGAAAGAUCCAUAGCAACCAACACCCAGUGACCACUGUAAAAUAAAACAAAAAUUUAGAUGAAUGAAAAUUUUCUACGUAAAAGAAUAUACAUAGAUUAGAAUGAAAUUAUUAGAAAGAAAAUCUAACCCGUUGCCAGAAUUAAACGGUAAAAAAAUACAAACUGG
rnacentral:lncRNA from 1 species